rnacentral:rRNA from 1 species
GCGUAAGAGUGGUUAUGGAAAAUAAAGACUAAAGCCGCACACCUUCAAAGCUGUUAUACGCAUCCGAAGGCUAGAAGAUCAACCACGAAGGUAGCUUUACAACCCCUGACCCCACGAAAGCUCUGGCACAAACUGGGAUUAGAUACCCCACUAUGCCUAGCCCUAAACCUUGGUAACAUAUCACAUACCCUACCCGCCUGGGAACUACGAGCACCAGCUUAAAACCCAAAGGACUUGGCGGUGCUUUAGACCCCCCUAGAGGAGCCUGUUCUAGAACCGAUAACCCCCGUUCAACCUCACCCUUCCUUGUUUAUCCCGCCUAUAUACCGCCGUCGUCAGCUUACCCUGUGAAGGCCUAAAAGUAAGCACAACUGGCACAACCCAAAACGUCAGGUCGAGGUGUAGCGCAUGGAGGGGGAAGAAAUGGGCUACAUUCCCUAUGUUAGGGAACACGAACGGCGCACUGAAACACGCGCCUGAAGGAGGAUUUAGUAGUAAGCGGAAAAUAGCGUGUUCCACUGAAAUCGGCCCUGAAGCGCGCACACACCGCCCGUCACUCUCCCCAAGCCUAUCACUUUAAAUAAUUAAAAACCCAAAAAUCGCGGAGGGGAGGCAAGUCGUAA